GCAUUAGCUUCUUCCACCGUUGCAGAAACAGCAAAAGAACAACUCAA
rnacentral:sRNA from 1 species